rnacentral:rRNA from 1 species
CCUACGGGCGGCUGCAGUGGGGAAUAUUGCACAAUGGGCGCAAGCCUGAUGCAGUCAUGCCGCGUGUGUGAAGAAGGCCUUCGGGUUGUAAAGCACUUUCAGCGGGGAGGAAGGCGGUGAGGUUAAUAACCUCAUCGAUUGACGUUACCCGCAGAAGAAGCACCGGCUAACUCCGUGCCAGCAGCCGCGGUAAUACGGAGGGUGCAAGCGUUAAUCGGAAUUACUGGGCGUAAAGCGCACGCAGGCGGUCUGUCAAGUCGGAUGUGAAAUCCCCGGGCUCAACCUGGGAACUGCAUUCGAAACUGGCAGGCUAGAGUCUUGUAGAGGGGGGUAGAAUUCCAGGUGUAGCGGUGAAAUGCGUAGAGAUCUGGAGGAAUACCGGUGGCGAAGGCGGCCCCCUGGACAAAGACUGACGCUCAGGUGCGAAAGCGUGGGGAGCAAACAGGAUUAGAUACCCCAGUAGUC